rnacentral:rRNA from 1 species
ACUCCUACGGGAGGCAGCAGUGGGGAAUAUUGCGCAAUGGGCGAAAGCCUGACGCAGCAACGCCGCGUGAGGGAUGACGGCCUUCGGGUUGUAAACCUCUUUCAGCAGGGAAGAAGCGAAAGUGACGGUACCUGCAGAAGAAGCACCGGCUAACUACGUGCCAGCAGCCGCGGUAAUACA